rnacentral:rRNA from 1 species
AUUGAACGCUGGCGGCAGGCCUAACACAUGCAAGUCGAACGAGUGGCGGACGGGUGAGUAAUGUCUGGGAAACUGCCUGAUGGAGGGGGAUAACUAAUGGAAACGGUAGCUAAUACCGCAUACCAUCAGAUGUGCCCAGAUGGGAUUAGCUAGUUGGUGGGGUAACGGAUCACCAAGGCGAAGAGCCCUAGCUGGUCUGAGAGGAUGAACAGCCACUCUGGAACGGGGACACGCUCCAGAAUCCUACGGGAGGCAGCGGUGGGGAAUAUUGCACAAUGGGCGGAAGCCUGUUGCAGCCAUGCCGCGUGUAUGAAGAAGGCCUUCGGGUUGUAAAGUACUUUCAGCUGGGAGGCGUUACCCGCAGAAUAAGCACCGGCUAACUCCGUGCCAGCAGCCGCGGUAAUUC